CUUCCUCGGCUUCUUCUUCCUCCCCAUACCCCCCAACCACGAAGUGGUCCUCAAGCCCUCAAUCCCAGUUCAAUCCUCUUCCAUCGAUGUUCGCCGAACCAAACCAAACCGCACCGACUCCUCGGCGUGCCGAUUGUAGUCGGUCUUGCAUCUCCUCGGCGCGGCGGCGGUCUCCAAAAUGGGCAUGCCGAUGACCUCCGGUCGGCAUACGGUUUGGGCUCAUACCCGACCCAACCCGACCCGUGCUCACCCCUAGUAUAUUCUAUUGAUUGGAGGAAAUUAUCUUUAAGGCUUUUGGAAGAAUGGAUGCAGCAGAUUUUUUGUAAGGAUAUUAUCUUUAUGUGUAUUUUUGUGAUGGGUUGUAAUCUUUAAUUUCAUAAGUUUAAUUUGGUUUGUGUAUUAUUUUUUGUAAUGGUUUGUAAGAGAUUAUAUUUCCUUU